ensembl:lncRNA
ACAUUACAUUACUACAUACACACAGCUACAUUACAUUACUACAUACACACAGCUACAUUACACACAGCUACAUUACACACAGCUACAUUACACACAGCUACAUUAUAUUACUACAUACACACAGCUACAUUACAUUACUACAUACACACAGCUACAUUACAUUACUACAUACACACAGCUACAUUACUACAUACACACAGCUACAUUACUACAUACACACAGCUACAUUACUACAUACACACAGCUACAUUAUAUUACUACAUACACACAGCUACAUUAUAUUACUACAUACACACAGCUACAUUAUAUUACUACAUACACACAGCUACAUUACUACAUACACACAGCUACAUUACUACAUACACACAGCUACAUUACUACAUACACACUGCUACAUUACUACAUACACACAGCUAUGUUACAUUACUACAUACACACAGCUACAUUAUAUUACUACAUACACACAGCUACAUUACUACAUACACACAGCUACAUUACUACAUACACACAGCUACAUUACUACAUACACCCAGCUACAUUACUACAUACACACCGCUACAUUACUACAUACACACAGCUACAUUACAUUACUACAUACACACAGCUACAUUAUAUUACUACAUACACACAGCUACAUUACAUUACUACAUACACACAGUUACAUUACAUUACCACAAACACACAGUUACAUUACUACAUACACACAGCUACAUUACAUUACUACAUACACACAGCUACAUUACAUUACUACAUACACACAGCUACAUUACAUUACUACAUACACACAGCUACAUUACUACAUACACACAGCUACAUUACUACAUACACACAGCUACAUUACUACAUACACACAGCUACAUUACAUUACUACAUACACACAGAUACAGUACCUAUCAAAAAUUUGGACACCUACUCAUUCUGGGGUUUUUCUUUAUUUUUACUAUUUUCUACAUUUUAGAUUAAUAGUGAAGAUGUCAAAACUAUGAAAUAACACAUACGGAAACAUAAAGGUGUUAAACAAAUCAAUAUACAUUUUUUUAUUUGAGAU